UAAAUUUUUAUUAAUUUUUAUUUUAUUUUUUUUUAAAAAAAAUAUUUUUUAUUUUAGUAUUUUUUGAAAAAAAAAUUUGGUUUAUAGUUUAAAGUACUGUGAAGGAAUUAAAUUAAUUAUUUUAAAAGUAACUUUAUUUAGUGUACCUUUUGUAUCAGGGUUUAUUAAAUUUGUAAAUUUAUUUUUUAUUUCUCGAAAUUUCAAGAUUUAUAUUUUUAUGUUAUUAAAUGUUACAAUAUUUUUUAGAAUAAAAAUAUAGGGAAUAUAUUUUAUUCAAUUGAGGAUAUCUAGUUUUUUAAUAAUUAGAUUUAAUCUAUAAUUAAACUUAUAUGAUUAUUAUAUUUUUGUUUAUUUAUAAUUAAUAAGGGAUAAGCUUUAUUAAUUUUUCUAUAUUUAUAUUUAUUGUCACUUUUCGUAGGAUUAAGAAUUUUCUUCAUUUAUUUUGUAAAAAUUAUUUUUGGCAAAGAUUUUAUUUAUUAUCUUUUUAGAUUUUUAUUAAAAUGAAGAAAUAAACUUUUGUUUUUUAUAAAAAUGAUAAAAUUAGUAUAUUUUUAAAAUAUAGAAUAGUAAUUCGGCAAAUAUAAUUUUCACCUGUUUAACAAAAACAUGGUCUUUUGUUUAUAUAAAAGAUUUAACCUGCCCAGUGAUUAUAUUAAAUGGCUGCAGUAUAUUGACUGUACAAAGGUAGCAUAAUCAUUUGUCUCUUAAUUAGAGUCUAGAAUGAAUGGUUUAAUGAAAAAUUUACUUUCUUUUUUUUAAAUAUUGAAUUUGAUUUUUGACUCAAAAAGUUUAAAUAUUAAUAGAGGACGAGAAGACCCUAUAGAACUUUAUUUUUAUUAAUUAAUUAUUUUUUUGAAAAUAAUUAUUUAUUAAUUUAAUUAAAAAUUUUGUUGGGGUGACAGAAAAAAUUUAAUAACUUUUUUAUUUUUUUUCAUUUAUAUAUGAGUGUUUGAUCCUUUUUUAGGGAAUUAAGAUUAAGUUACCUUAGGGAUAACAGCGUUAUUAUUUUAGAGAGUUCAUAUUGAUAAAAUAGUUUGCGACCUCGAUGUUGGAUUAAAAAUAGUUUCAGGAGUAGAAGAUUGAAUAACUAGGUCUGUUCGACCUUUAAAUUUUUACAUGAUCUGAGUUCAGACCGGCGUGAGCCAGGUCGGUUUCUAUCCUUAUUUUUUUUUUAAAUUUAUAGUACGAAAGGACCUAUUUUUAGGAAAAUUUUUUAAUUGAUUGAUUUAAAUU
rnacentral:rRNA from 1 species